UCCAACAUUGGGACAUUUCAUAUAAAAAGAGCAAAAGCCUCUGCAUUUUAAGGACCUCUAAAAACCCCGAAACAGCCCAUCCCUUAAAAAACAGGACUGGGCAAAUAAAAGGGAAAACAAACUGCCUUCUUCUCCAUUCCAUUCCAAUAAUCUUCCCCAAGAAAAUCUUCCAUCUUUUUUUUAUCGAGAACCGUACAUGAUAAACUUGAAGAAAAGUAGAGAACAAUACCAAUCCGGAAAUCCCUAAAAACUAUGAGUUCCAAUCUACCAGCAAAGUUGCAAAAGUUCCGACUAGAAAUCCAAUUACCUAACCACAGGUUCGGCCUCUUCGUCUUCUUGUGCUUAUAGUUAUCUCUCUCUUUCUGUUGUCAUUGACAACUUCAUAUAUUC
rnacentral:lncRNA from 1 species